GCCCCGGGCACGGAGCUGCCACGCUCAUGGGUUCUUCCUAGGAGGAGGCAGUCGCUGAUGCCUGGCUGUUCCCUUGCAGGAAAUACCACUGUGCCGGGGGUGCAGAGGAAAGAUGCUGACGGCAGGAGAAGCCCCCCAGCCAUGCACCCACUGCUGAGCGACCAAAACUGAAUUCCAGGGAAUCGUUUCUGCCCACAGCAGUAACUUGGGGCUACCAGAUGCUCCUCCCAGAGCAGCCCCAGGUAAAGCUUUCCAAGGCUGCGAAGAACCCCAGGCCAGCCUGGGCUCCAGGUUGCACAGGCAUUAGGAAAGGCGACACUAACAAAGCCCGGGCAUCCUCUCCUCCUCCCCGGGAGACUCGGGGCGGCCCGGGCGGAGCACUUACAUUGCCUCGGAAGCCUCCAGGUUCAGGUCGCUGGCUGGGGCUGGCUGCAGGGACUGCGACCCUCCCAUCCUCGCUGUGCCCUGGCGUGCAAGCUAGCCGCGAGCGGGGCCAGCGUCCUGGCGCGAUUCCUGCAGCCGGGAGCCGGGGCGAGCCGGCCGGCGGCCGGGGUUGCUGCACUGCAGAGGGGAGCAGCUGCGGGCAUCCGUGGCGGCGGGAGCGGCGGCAGGGAGCUGCGACUCGCGGCCCGAGCCGGGGGCCGGGGGGCGAGCGCCGCGUAUGUGUGCGCGCGAGUGUGGCCGGCGCGCGCCCGAGUGUGGCCGGCGUGCGCGGCUCUGCCCGGGGCGUGCGGGUAUGAGCGUGAGCGCCGGUGUGGUCCGAAAGGCUCUUCUCUUAAACCCCCCGGCAGCCGGCUCCUGUGUGUGACACGAUGAUGUCAUCAUCGCCGAGCAGCCCCAACGCCUGCAUCUUCACAAAGCUCCAUCGCGGGCUCCGGAAACGGGGCUGGGGGUGGGGAGGCGAAGACCCUCCCUCUGCCCCGGCCCCUCCCGCCUCGCCGGGACCGCCCGCAUUGUGUAGCUUUGAAAUGCAAACGAGCCGCGGCCCGGGAGCUGGGGCCCUAGAAAGGAGGGGCGUGGUGGUCGGGCGGGCUGACCACCGAGAGAGUAGGGGGCUCAGCCCUGUUGGCUCAUCCCUCCAGGAAGGAGGAAAUGGUCUCUCCCGGCCCAGGACUAAGGGGAUGGCUGGAGGAACAGGUAAAUAGGCUGCAGUGGGCAGCGGGCAGCGGGAGCGACGCUGGGAGAGACGUGCGCCCUUUUCCACCGCCGGCUUCUGCCUCCUUCAGGCCCCGGGUCCUGGAGGCAGCUGAAGUCUGUACCAGGGAGAGCUGCGGCACCUGGCUCUCCCCUCACAGCCAGCCCGGGGCUAGCCUCCAAGGACCUUUGCACCGCACAGUCUGAGGGCCUGGGGCAAGCUAGGGAGCAAAAGGUACUGGGCCUGCGAGCGGGCUGGGGCUGCAACACCAUCUUUGGCCACCAAAUGAGCUCCACAAAGCCAAGCCCUGUGCAAAGGCUCACCCUAAACAAGCAGAGGCGCGGCCAGCUGAGCCGCCCAAGGCAGGCCCCUAAUGCAGCAUGCGUGUACAGGGCAAAGGCAGUUCUCCGUGACAUGCAUCGGCUCAGCUCUGUGAUUCUAAACACGGGCUGGGCCUGUAGGAAUGUCCGUGACACCCCAUCACCAAGCUCCCAGUGCCCAGUCAGCCCCAUUCUGUAGCUGGCAGCAUGUCACCCAUCAGCAGCCAAAUCCCUGUCCCUGGCCUAUGGCAGGCUCAGAAACCCUCAAGACUUGAGAUCCUGAGCCUCCUCACUGGAGGCUGCUGCAGAAAGAGUUCAUCUCUGUAUAGGUACAGGAGGUUUGGGGCACACCUGGGAACCCCACCAUCCCCUCAUGCUGUACAUUCAACACAACCGCUUCCUGCGCUCCCAGCCCAGACUCACAACUGAAUUCAAAUGGAACCUCUGAUGGGUAAGUGGAAGACUCUUCCACAUUUCCCAGCUUGUCUUCACCCACAGGGCAGUGAGCCUAAAAUGUAUCUAAACUGUGGCCAAAAGCAAAAGAAAAUAAAAACAAAAUUGUUCAAAGCAUUUUAAAA
rnacentral:lncRNA from 1 species